CACUGUGGUGACUAAGCAAACCAUUUUUCUUUAAUCACAGAAUAGGAGUACCCGUGGCAAAGCUGGUAUGCAAAUUCAGACUUACCUCCUCUGUCCUGCCUCCGGAUCAUUAUGAGUGGUUGACCUUUGCAGCACUGGAUCUUGUACUUUCUUCUGCUUGAGUGAAGAACCCUAUAGCAUCUUCUCCCUGUGCAGGGAGAAAAACAAACUGCCUUUUCCACUGACACAGCACACUGUGGUUUCUCAUUCACUGAUGGUUUUCCUCAUAUGUAAAGGGUUACACUGCAAAUAUAUGAUCAAG